rnacentral:snoRNA from 1 species
CACCAUUUUUCACCCGGCUGUGUUUGGUCUUUUUACUUACGUACCAAGAUCCAAUUUAAUAGCAAACAAGAUAAAUCUUGUCUAUUACUCACCAAGAUAUCCUCAAAAGUGGAUAUAUUGGUCCAUUUCACGGACACACAU